GUCCUGAUGGUCUAGUGGUAUGAUGAUUGUUCUGUAAUAUCAUAACAGUUUCUUCAAGAUUUACGGAAUCGGCGUGGGUUCGAACCCCACUCAGGACU